rnacentral:rRNA from 1 species
GGGUUGUGAGGUUAAGUGACUAAGCGUACACGGUGGAUGCCCUGGCAGUCAGAGGCGAUGAAGGACGUGCUAAUCUGCGAUAAGCGUCGGUAAGGUGAUAUGAACCGUUAUAACCGGCGAUUUCCGAAUGGGGAAACCCAGUGUGAUUCGUCACACUAUCAUUAACUGAAUCCAUAGGUUAAUGAGGCGAACCGGGGGAACUGAAACAUCUAAGUACCCCGAGGAAAAGAAAUCAACCGAGAUUCCCCCAGUAGCGGCGAGCGAACGGGGAGCAGCCCAGAGCCUGAAUCAGUGUGUGUGUUAGUGGAAGCGUCUGGAAAGGCGCGCGAUACAGGGUGACAGCCCCGUACACAAAAAUGCACAUAUUGUGAGCUCGAUGAGUAGGGCGGGACACGUGGUAUCCUGUCUGAAUAUGGGGGGACCAUCCUCCAAGGCUAAAUACUCCUGACUGACCGAUAGUGAACCAGUACCGUGAGGGAAAGGCGAAAAGAACCCCGGCGAGGGGAGUGAAAAAGAACCUGAAACCGUGUACGUACAAGCAGUGGGAGCACGCUUAGG